rnacentral:rRNA from 1 species
UACAGAGGGUGCGAGCGUUAAUCGGAAUUACUGGGCGUAAAGCGCGCGUAGGCGGCUUUUCAAGUCGAUUGUGAAAUCCCCGGGCUUAACCUGGAACUGCAGUCGAGACUGAAUAGCUAGGGUACGGUAGAGGGAAGUGGAAUUUCCGGUGUAGCGGUGAAUGCGUAGAUAAUCGGAGGAACACCAGUGGCGAAGGCGACUACCUGGCCUGUUCUUGACGCUGAGGCGCGAAAGCUAGGGAGC